CCCACACCUUGGCAUCCAGGGAGGCGAUCUCCUGCUGGUUGGUGGUGGAAGCCAGGAAGUUGCUCAUCUGAGCUUUCAGGGGGUCAUCCACCUCCACGUCAAUGUCGUAGCAGGCCGUCUUCUUCUGGUCAUUGGGGUCCACGCUGGGAGGAAUCAGGGUGUUAAGGGAACCUCCUCAGCCUCAGAGGCAGAUCAACCAUCCCCAAAGGCCAUACAAGUAUCCCAACGACUGCCCCAAGGAGCUCCCAAAGUUGUUGGGCUGAUCCGUCCCCUCCCAGUGACUUGUGCUCACUGCUGUUUUGAGCUGGAGACCUUGCAGCACCUGGGGCCCCGUAUCCUCAACAAACAGAGAGGUAGCCAUUGCACUCCAGGCAGUCCACCCACCCUACCUGAUGGUGUGGUUGAUGAUGAUGGGAUCUGGGUGCUGCAGGAGCCCCGCUAACUUCAUGGGGAUCUCAGAGAAGCGCAUACGGACACAGUUGAAGAUCUGGCGGAAGUAGCGGUUGCAGUUGAUGUACUCCUUCUCAUGACUGUCCUGCAGCUUGUUGUGCUUGAUGUAAAGCCAGAGCGCCUGCAUGAUGCUGGCACGGGUCUGGGUGUGCACCCCCAGCAGGCGAGCCAGGCGAGGGUCCAGUUUGUAUUGUGGUGGCUGCAGGGACAUGCGGGAUUAAGGGCGUGUUUGGAACGUGGCCUCUCAGUGGGCACAGUGUCCUACACAGCCCUCGUGCUGCUGCAGGCUGAGUGCCAUUCCUAGAGCUCCUCCCCACUGCUUUCUGCCCCUGUUCUGUACCAUAGCACGUAACCCAACAGCCUCCCUCAUGCAGG
rnacentral:lncRNA from 1 species